GGCAGUGGUGGCUCAAUGGUAAAAGGCUCUGUGUUGCUGAUCAGAAAGUCAUGAGUUCAAGCCACAGCACUGCCA